ACGCGAUAGUUAAUGUGAAUUGCAGAAUUCAGUGAAUCAUCGAGUCUUUGAACGCACAUUGCGCCCAUUGGUAUUCCUUUGGGCAUGUCUGUUUGAGCGUCAUUACAACCCUCAGCUAACCGCUGGUUUUGAGCCGGAACGGGUACCAACCCGCACCGGCUUUAAAGUUGUAAGCUCUGCUGGCCGCUCUGCCUAACCAGAACAUAGUAAAAACACUACUUGUUGGGGUGAAGCUAAGCGGUACAGCCUGAACAAAACCUACCCAUUCUAAGGUUUGACCUCAGAUCAGAUAAGGAUACCCGCUGAACUUAA
rnacentral:misc_RNA from 1 species